UACGUAGGGUGCAAGCGUUGUUCGGAAUUACUGGGCGUAAAGCGCGCGUAGGCGGGCUAGUAAGUCGAUUGUGAAAUCCCUGGGCUUAACCUGGGAACUGCAGUCGAAACUACUAGUCUUGAAUGCUUGAGAGGAUGGCGGAAUUCCCGGUGUAGUAGUGAAAUGCGUAGAUAUCGAGAGGAACACCAGUGGCGAAGGCGAGUCUCUGGACGACUCCUGACACUGAGGCACGAAAGCUAGGGGAGCAAACAGG
rnacentral:rRNA from 1 species